rnacentral:rRNA from 1 species
GGGUUGUGAGGUUAAGCGACUAAGCGUACACGGUGGAUGCCCUGGCAGUCAGAGGCGAUGAAGGACGUGCUAAUCUGCGAUAAGCGUCGGUAAGGUGAUAUGAACCGUUAUAACCGGCGAUUUCCGAAUGGGGAAACCCAGUGUGAUUCGUCACACUAUCAUUAACUGAAUCCAUAGGUUAAUGAGGCGAACCGGGGGAACUGAAACAUCUAAGUACCCCGAGGAAAAGAAAUCAACCGAGAUUCCCCCAGUAGCGGCGAGCGAACGGGGAGGAGCCCAGAGCCUGAAUCAGUGUGUGUGUUAGUGGAAGCGUCUGGAAAGGCGCGCGAUACAGGGUGACAGCCCCGUACACAAAAAUGCACAUGCUGUGAGCUCGAUGAGUAGGGCGGGACACGUGGUAUCCUGUCUGAAUAUGGGGGGACCAUCCUCCAAGGCUAAAUACUCCUGACUGACCGAUAGUGAACCAGUACCGUGAGGGAAAGGCGAAAAGAACCCCGGCGAGGGGAGUGAAAAAGAACCUGAAACCGUGUACGUACAAGCAGUGGGAGCACAGAGCAAUCUGUGUGACUGCGUACCUUUUGUAUAAUGGGUCAGCGACUUAUAUUCUGUAGCAAGGUUAACCGAAUAGGGGAGCCGAAGGGAAACCGAGUCUUAACUGGGCGUUAAGUUGCAGGGUAUAGACCCGAAACCCGGUGAUCUAGCCAUGGGCAGGUUGAAGGUUGGGUAACACUAACUGGAGGACCGAACCGACUAAUGUUGAAAAAUUAGCGGAUGACUUGUGGCUGGGGGUGAAAGGCCAAUCAAACCGGGAGAUAGCUGGUUCUCCCCGAAAGCUAUUUAGGUAGCGCCUCGUGAAUUCAUCUCCGGGGGUAGAGCACUGUUUCGGCAAGGGGGUCAUCCCGACUUACCAACCCGAUGCAAACUGCGAAUACCGGAGAAUGUUAUCACGGGAGACACACGGCGGGUGCUAACGUCCGUCGUGAAGAGGGAAACAACCCAGACCGCCAGCUAAGGUCCCAAAGUCAUGGUUAAGUGGGAAACGAUGUGGGAAGGCCCAGACAGCCAGGAUGUUGGCUUAGAAGCAGCCAUCAUUUAAAGAAAGCGUAAUAGCUCACUGGUCGAGUCGGCCUGCGCGGAAGAUGUAACGGGGCUAAACCAUGCACCGAAGCUGCGGCAGCGACGCUUAUGCGUUGUUGGGUAGGGGAGCGUUCUGUAAGCCUGUGAAGGUGUACUGUGAGGUAUGCUGGAGGUAUCAGAAGUGCGAAUGCUGACAUAAGUAACGAUAAAGCGGGUGAAAAGCCCGCUCGCCGGAAGACCAAGGGUUCCUGUCCAACGUUAAUCGGGGCAGGGUGAGUCGACCCCUAAGGCGAGGCCGAAAGGCGUAGUCGAUGGGAAACAGGUUAAUAUUCCUGUACUUGGUGUUACUGCGAAGGGGGGACGGAGAAGGCUAUGUUGGCCGGGCGACGGUUGUCCCGGUUUAAGCGUGUAGGCUGGUUUUCCAGGCAAAUCCGGAAAAUCAAGGCUGAGGCGUGAUGACGAGGCACUACGGUGCUGAAGCAACAAAUGCCCUGCUUCCAGGAAAAGCCUCUAAGCAUCAGGUAACAUCAAAUCGUACCCCAAACCGACACAGGUGGUCAGGUAGAGAAUACCAAGGCGCUUGAGAGAACUCGGGUGAAGGAACUAGGCAAAAUGGUGCCGUAACUUCGGGAGAAGGCACGCUGAUAUGUAGGUGAAGUCCCUCGCGGAUGGAGCUGAAAUCAGUCGAAGAUACCAGCUGGCUGCAACUGUUUAUUAAAAACACAGCACUGUGCAAACACGAAAGUGGACGUAUACGGUGUGACGCCUGCCCGGUGCCGGAAGGUUAAUUGAUGGGGUCAGCGCAAGCGAAGCUCUUGAUCGAAGCCCCGGUAAACGGCGGCCGUAACUAUAACGGUCCUAAGGUAGCGAAAUUCCUUGUCGGGUAAGUUCCGACCUGCACGAAUGGCGUAAUGAUGGCCAGGCUGUCUCCACCCGAGACUCAGUGAAAUUGAACUCGCUGUGAAGAUGCAGUGUACCCGCGGCAAGACGGAAAGACCCCGUGAACCUUUACUAUAGCUUGACACUGAACAUUGAGCCUUGAUGUGUAGGAUAGGUGGGAGGCUUUGAAGUGUGGACGCCAGUCUGCAUGGAGCCGACCUUGAAAUACCACCCUUUAAUGUUUGAUGUUCUAACGUUGACCCGUGAUCCGGGUUGCGGACAGUGUCUGGUGGGUAGUUUGACUGGGGCGGUCUCCUCCUAAAGAGUAACGGAGGAGCACGAAGGUUGGCUAAUCCUGGUCGGACAUCAGGAGGUUAGUGCAAUGGCAUAAGCCAGCUUGACUGCGAGCGUGACGGCGCGAGCAGGUGCGAAAGCAGGUCAUAGUGAUCCGGUGGUUCUGAAUGGAAGGGCCAUCGCUCAACGGAUAAAAGGUACUCCGGGGAUAACAGGCUGAUACCGCCCAAGAGUUCAUAUCGACGGCGGUGUUUGGCACCUCGAUGUCGGCUCAUCACAUCCUGGGGCUGAAGUAGGUCCCAAGGGUAUGGCUGUUCGCCAUUUAAAGUGGUACGCGAGCUGGGUUUAGAACGUCGUGAGACAGUUCGGUCCCUAUCUGCCGUGGGCGCUGGAGAACUGAGGGGGGCUGCUCCUAGUACGAGAGGACCGGAGUGGACGCAUCACUGGUGUUCGGGUUGUCAUGCCAAUGGCACUGCCCGGUAGCUAAAUGCGGAAGAGAUAAGUGCUGAAAGCAUCUAAGCACGAAACUUGCCCCGAGAUGAGUUCUCCCUGACUCCUUGAGAGUCCUGAAGGAACGUUGAAGACGACGACGUUGAUAGGCCGGGUGUGUAAGCGCAGCGAUGCGUUGAGCUAACCGGUACUAAUGAACCGUGAGGCUUAACCUUACAACGCCGAAGGUGUUU